CUUUUAUGUGUGCUGGUGACUCAUCCAGAGCAGAGGCACAAUGAAGGGUUGUGAUCUGCUCCACAGUGUUGCAUCACAGGUCUGGAAGUGGUCUUUGAUUAUUGAAUUGUAUCUACUCCAAUUGAAAGCAACCUCUGUUCUUAGCAAACAUUUACCCAGAUGCUCCACAUCUGUGGCUUGACAUCACCCUGAAUAAUGAAGCCCUACCCUGAACAAUGAGGUCUUUCUUCUCAGCUUCAAACGAAUUAUCUUCUGGGCAGUUGCAGAUAUCCCUCUUAUUAGAUCCUAAGUAUACUUUCCAUUUCUGUUGCCCCAGACUUCAAGGUCAGGAAAGCACAUUAAAAAUAAAGUGGCCUUGCCAGGCCUGGCAACCACCUGUGAUGUCCGGUGUGGCUGGAGGCCGAGCCAUCUUUGUCAUAUCACCAGGACAUUAACAGAGCUGACAGCUCCAGAGUCUCCAGGAGGUUCUCCAUGAGUGAAGCUGGCUGCUGGUAAGGAGUAGGGGGACAUGCAGAUCAGAACUUCACCAGCACACGGCAUUGUCAUCUUCCCAGUGACUGGUGCCUCACUGCACUGGAUGUUUGGGGACACAGUAGCUCUCCUUGUUUCUGAGAGGCUGCAGCAGCUUUUACCAGCAUGCCAGGUAUGGGCAACUGUGAAGGCUCUGGCAAGCCUUGGGUAACAGUGAGCCACUGCUUUCAUCUGCAUCUCCCAUCAUUACACUUUAUCCUCUAAUUUAUUCUGCAUAAGAAGCAGGGAAAGAAGAAGAAAUGAGUGGCAACUGUGUUGAGUAUUGCACCUCAAGUAUGGGAUUUUUGUAGGGAAAAAGCCCCCACAUGAGACUUAUUCCUGCAUAUUAUCCUCAGGUAAUGUAUGUAUUCUCUUUUUUUUAUGUAUUUUUUAAAGUCUUCUGACAUAUGGUACCUUUCAAUUUACUUCAGGUCACACAAGAGACAAAGUACUUUGAAAUGUAGGCUAAGUCAUACAAAAGAACUGCAAAAUCCAAAGGCAACAGGAAUUUUUCCGCUGAGGGGACCUGAAUGUGCAGAACUGCACCUGAAGGAUGGUGCAGAACCAAGCAGAGUGGUAUAACAUGCACAGGUACUAGCCUGCAAGAACAAACGUGUGCACAAAUUCUCCCCUCCAGGCAGGAGAAGCCCACAGAAUGACAGAGAGAUCUGAUGAAAUUCCAGCCCUGUUGAAGUGGAUGGAAAUGUUGCCAUCAAUUUUUCAACAAAAAAUUCUUCCCAGAAGACCUGUGAGGAAUUUUUUAAUUGGAUGGUAAUUUGUGCUGGGAAAGAUGAUAAUAUAAUGGGGAGAAAUUUGAUGCUUGGAUAAAUGAGCCAUAGAUACUGCAUCUGUUAAAAUGUGUUCUACCAAAGGGCCACUUCUCCAAUAAGGACAGAGAAAUGUGAGAAGGAAAAGAGCAGAAAGAGCCCAUUUCCUGCCCAUGUAGCUGUGUUGUAUGCCAAGAAAGUCAUAGUGCUGCAUGAGUGCUUGUGGCUCUUCUUCAUAGUCUCUGCUUCAGACAAUCAGAGCUGAUGAGGACUGACUGUAAAGUGCACUUCUGUUUUCUAACACAGCCUCUUUGGAAAAUGUGAUGUUACAAUACUGGCCAGUCAGUUGGUCUGCCAUUUUUGGUUGGCCUCUUCUGUUGUAACACGAUGAUACUACUUCUUUUCUUUGUUUUUCACCUGCUGUCAGAGAGAUCAGGGUACAAAGUGCUGACUUCCUCCUAAACCUUUGGAUCCCAUUGGGAUUUCCCAGUGCUGGGCCUACUUAUUCCACAUUUGAGGUUUCCUUCCUGGCAGUUUUUGGCAUCUGCUGCAGAGUUGUGCCUCUGGUUUAUUGGUACGCAUUUCUCUUGCAGCAUUCACUGGAUAUCUGACUUCCUCACAAACGCAGUCAUUUCACAAUAACCCUGUUAGAAAAGGAAGAACUAUCACUUUUACUUAGAUUACAAAUGCAGGGGCUUUCAUAGUGACCACAAACAUGCAGCUGUCGAAGACUGAUUGACUUUCCCAUAGGGGAUACACUGUGUUCUUGUCCAGAGGAGCUGAACCUUUUCUGAGUGGGUAGAGGUUCCUCUGCUGACAUGGGGUGCAGCAGAAGCUACUGGGGUCCAUCCCUGGAGAAGUGCAGUCACUAAUUUAGGUGACUGCUGAGGAAGGAUAUUCCCUUGUUUUGGCUGAUGAGCAUUCAGGGUUAGUUCAAUACUUUUUUUUUAAACUUUUUUUUUUUUUUUUAAUUAGAAGAAGGAAGGGAUGUGUUCAGUUUGUAAACACAAAUGCAAACACAUUCGGUAACCAAGCAGUUUGGCGAGUGUUCUGCUGAUGAAGGAUGAAGUUUGCUGUUAGGCUCUGGAAUAAUAGCAUAUGGCAGUAGAUUGAACAUUUGUCAUUGAGUGAUUUCAUCUUCUGCACUAAAGUAGACUACCCAGCACGGAGACUGAUAUUUUACAAAGUCAGACAUGACAGAGGGAAAAGUUAAUCCUUCAGCCAAAGAAUAAUAGUCUGAUUAGAUGUCCUACUUCAAGCUGUAUGAAUAUGCAUUUAGACCAUGCUGAUUUUAAUAUUUCAAGACCUGGGUGCAGCUCCUAACAAAUAUCAGCUCAUAGGAAUGUUAAAAAUGCUUUUACUUUCAAAGAAAAUAAACAUUUUUUUCUGUGCUUUUAUGACUAACAUCUUUUCAUAUUAAGAUUCAGAGAUAAAAAGUACUGAAAUAAUUGAUGGAAGUUGAUACUGUAUGUUUGCAUAUUACAUUCCUUUUUAGUGUAGAUACUGAAAAUAGAUUAGGUUAUUAUUGACUUUGUUUCCAGAAAAUGUCAGCAUCAGAUUCCAGUUAACACAUUGCUCUGUCUAAAACCAGCCUUCUUUUGUGAGAUGCAGAAUUGAAGGGACACCAUUGAAGCUUAAAGUACAGAUCUGCCUCACAGACGUGUCCUGAAGAAGGUACCCUGUAAGAUGCAACUAGAGGAAGAAAUGCAGAAACAGGAGAAAGCUGUAUUGGUUUUUCUUGACAUAACCUUGCUGCACUGACACUGUACUUCUGUUGGUUGCCAGUGUGUGGAGGCUGAAGAAUGUUUUUGCAUCUGAGGUAGUUAUAAUCUCCUUUCUAUGCCAUCAUUUUUUCCCUUCAUUACUCUAAAACAAAACAUUGAUUGCUAAAUGUUUAAAAGGACUCAUCACAGAGUUGCUCUGCUUACUAAAUGCCUUUAUUUAUUCAAGUCUAAUUCAUAUGCUAGUGACAUUUUCUUGUUUUUCUGUUUCUAGGAAAGAUUCAAGUGGUUCUUUAAACCAAGAACUUCACAAUGCCUUAAUGGAUCAGAGAUAUUGUUUAUACUGUAAAUCUCUUAAUCUCCUGACAUUUAUAUCAUUAAUGGCAAAUCUUUAUGAGUCUGACUUUGUGGGUCCCUCAUAGCAUUUAAUAAUGCUGUUUCUGAUGGCUAGACAUGUAAAGAGUGGGCACCCAGGGGCAGAGAUUUAAUGUGGCUCUGAGAAAGACACUUCUAAGGAAACCAGUCUUUAUAUCUUCAUGGGCAUAAUGGCUCCAGGGGUUGUGAAUCUUUCCUAUAUACUUUAACUUGAGGCUGAACAACUGUUACUUAACGGGACAGAAUCUGAACAAGAAUGUUUUCAAUGUUCAUGUCACAUUCUAUGAAUUUGAGUUUAUUUUGCUCUGCAGCAACCGACUACUUGGCAUUAGCUGGAGCCAUCAAGGAUCUGACUUCUGCCCCUAGUUAUGUUUCUGCAUCAUUGCACCACUGACCCUGAGUCCAAUGUCCCAUCUCAUAUCUCCUCUCUUGGCUCGCCACUGGCUGCAUACUGAGUGUGGAUGAGUGUAAUUCGGUGAGCAUUUUCUGACUUGUGGUGGGACUCCAGGACACGUCUGUUAUAAGCAAGAAGAGUUUCUUAAUCACUCGGGAAUUUUUGGAAAUUUUUACUCUUCUUGCAGAUUGGUAAAAAUCUGCUUCCAAAAAGCAAUAUAUUUCCUUACUCAAAACACAGAGAGCAGAAGCUUCAAAAGCAAGGGAAGAGCUCCAGCAUUCUCUAAUCCAAUGGGUUUGGUGUGUGCCAGCAGUCACGUGCAAUUGCCCUCAAACAGACACAUGCACCACUGCUGCAAACUCCCUCAGAAAAUUUGUCUCAACAGAUCCUGCCCUCAGAGUCGCCCCUACAACAUGUGGUAGUGCACAGAGUUGACUUGUCAGAACUCGGUUGUCUGUGUGCUCAGAAGAUUACGAAGAGGAUAAAGGUGAAAAUGGGCAUCCACAGAACAUAUGCAGAAGUGCUGAGGAGCAUGUGGGAGCUGUGAAAUGGAACUACGAGUAAAAGAAAACUCAUAGAGGUGGAGUUGGGGACUGAGUUAAAGGACAAUAUAAAUAGAAUCAUCCACCAGAUGCGAGGCUUUUCUGAUGGUUGUUUGGGUGCCUCUUUGAGAAUGAUGGGUUUGGAUUCAGCCCCUUGAAGAAUCAAAGCAGAGAAGUGUUGGAUCACUGGGAUGGUCUCAAGUAAGCUGAUGCUACCGUCAUGGAGAUGAGUACAUGGACUUUCAUGUUGCAAACAUCUUCAGGAUAAAGUAGGAGGUAAUUUUUCAGCUUUGCUCAGUGAGGGUGAAGUCUUCACUGGAGUACUGUGUCAACUCCAGGGCUGUGCAUUGGAUGAAAAAUAGAGACUCGUUGGAGAGCAGCCAGAAUAGACCAAUAAGAAUGAUGAGAAGUUUGGAAAACAUGAUCUGUGAGAAAAGGUUCAAGGAACUGCUUUUUAAACAUUUCUUUUCAUCUGGAAAAAUAAAAGUAUCUUGAGAUGAGACAUGAUGAAAGACUUUCAGUACUUCAAGUUUUACUGUUAAAGACAACAAUGAAUUAAGCCAUAAAGGAAAUUGAGAGAAUGGGUUUAGUUUUUGUCAAAAGUUAGACAAAGGAAACAUCUACUGUUAGGAAAAUCUGGAACUGGAGAAAAACACCCAGAGUUGGUCUUGUGAUUGGAGCUUUAUAAGGAUAAAACAGACAUAAAUCUGCUAAAAGAGCCAAGUGCGUGGCGUGGGCAAGGUGUUCACCUGAUAUCCGUUCCAGCCCUGUGUGUCAGUGAUUUAUAGACGCAAUGUGACAGAGCUCUGCUGAUCCCUCAGAUUACAAUCAGCACCUGGACAUCAAAGGCUUCAUCUGGAAAGAUUCACUGGCUGCUCAAGUGCCAAACAGAUUUCUGUUUUGGAAGGAGAAGGUAUCUCUGGCUGUCACUCAGGUCUUCAAGCUACAACGGACAGAGUUUGCUGCCUUGCUCAUUAGUUGAAAUGAGCCUGCAAUAGCAUGGCAAGAAAGCUGGAAGUUUCUGUGAAGGUUUUAGUAAGGAUGUUUGAAUGGACCCAGGAAGCACAAGGAGUUGACUGACUGCCCUUCACACAGUAUUUCUGCCCUGUUCUGCGCUGUUCUUGCCAAUGGCUUUGUAUCAGAAAGUCCUUCAGGAGCAACGUUCAAGUGGAAGAAUAGUCAGGAGUCAGAAGGGCACCCAAAAGAGAGAAGUGGAGAUUUGGUCUGAAAUGGGUGUGGAGAAAGUGUUGUCCCGGGAAAAAUAACCUGAGCACACCAAACUUCUCUAGUCUUUAUUUCCUGCAGAGAGAAGUCAGUCUGCAGCGUCCCUGAAGUUACAUUUAGAGGAGGAAGAUGGACGGAUGGAAGUACAUAACCGGGACAAGACUGCUGUGUUGGCAGCUGUGCUUUCUCCUACCAGUGUCCACAAGGUCAAGUGAUCAGAGAAGGAGAAAGGCUCUUGACUCAAAUUUUCACUCAGAUGUCUCUCCGCUGUUUUUAUAUGAAUUCUGUUACUGGUGAUCUGCCUUGGGCUUUUAGGAAUACCAUUUUUUCUGCUGUAUACAAUUCCAUUUGGCAUGACUGUCUGGAUACAGCACUGAUUGCUGACCUCGGACUUACACAUGCAGUUGUCCCACCCUCAUCCAUCAACAGCGGUCCCAGGCACUUCAAACUCAACUGGUGCCAGCUGUGAAGAUCUCUGUGGUCACAGGAGAGUGAUGAUGCAGAAGUGAGGACUGAAAUUGAAGGUGGAAAAUAAAAUGUCAGUUAUCUGUAAGAAAUGUACUGACACAAUGAUGAUAGAGAUACCACCAUCCUGUAACAUAUACAACAGAUAAGUGCAAUAAAGUUCUAGUUGCUAAGUUUUCCUCA